UACGGGGGGGGCAAGCGUUGUUCGGAAUUACUGGGCGUAAAGGGCUCGUAGGCGGCCAACUAAGUCAGACGUGAAAUCCCCAGGCUCAACCUGGGAACUGCGUCUGAUACUGGAUGGCUUAAAUCCGGGAGAGGGAUGCAGAAUUCCAGGUGUAGCGGUGAAAUGCGUAGAUAUCUGGAGGAAUACCGGUGGCGAAGGCGGCAUCCUGGACCGGCAUUGACGCUGAGGAGCGAAAGCCAGGGGAGCAAGCGGG
rnacentral:rRNA from 1 species